UCCAGGUCACGGCAAUGGAGCUCCCUGAGCAGGGGUUGUGGGUCCAGGGCAUGGCAGGAGGGGUCUGCAAUGGGGUGUGUGGGUCUGGGGCACAGCAAUGGGCUCCCCAAGGUGGGUGUGUGGGGCCAGGGCAUUGCAGUGGGGGGUCUCUGAGCAGGGUACGUGGGUCCAGGACAUGGUAAUGGGGGUCUCCGAGUGAGGUGCGUGGGUCCGGGGCACAGCGAUGGGGCUGCCCACAGGUACAUGUGUGGGUCCCAUGGGUGUCAGCCCAUGGGUGUCAGCUGCUGUUGCCCACCCCGUCUGGGGGUGCCCCUGGGGGGUCAGCUCUGGGUGCUGCUGGAGGGUCCCAGGGUUAAAGCCCAGGCUGAGCAUGUUGCUGCCCAGUCUCCAUUCCGGGGGGUGACUGGUGUGACUGGGAGGUCGUUUGUGCUGGGAGGGUGCGUGAUACCCUUUAAACCCCCUUGGCUUGUCUCGGGGACCCCGGUGACUCCCCAUCGUGGGCUGAGGGCAGGUGGGGGGACACCCCCGUGGGUCCCAACAGCCUUGUGGGACCCUCGCUGUGGACUGUGUGGAAAAGGAGUGUGACUGAGCAUCCCACUGUCUGCUCCUCAGCCCCACGGUCCCCUGGUGAGCACAAGCUGCUGGAGGUGCUGUUGCUGUUCUGCUCGGCCUUCAUGGACACGAGCAAGACACGGUGGUUUAGUGCCAUCAGAUAGAAGACAUGAUGCAAUUCCCCGUUCCCAGAAGAUGAUGUGGACCAAACACAAAGAAGCAGGAAGAAAGGAAAAAAAAAAAAAAAAGAGGAAAAAAAAAGAAAAGGAUGAAUACCCUGUUAAAAUGUUUACUAUCAGAAACGUCCUGACCUCACUGGUUAAUCCGCCUCCCGCAAGCACGGAGCAGCCAGCCCAGGCCCCACCUUGUGGAAGCUGCAGAGCAAAAUAUGAAAUCCUUUAGUGCAACCAGAUUUCGGUUUUGGGCAUAGAUGAGGUGCCUUGGUCCCCUCUGAAAAAUUACUGGUCCCGUUACCCUCACACUCAGAGCACAAGAGCAGCAGCCGGGGAGCGGGGUGGUUACGCUGCCGAAGGUGAUUCCUUUCCUCUUUCCUUGGAGGCAAUCUCAGUGUCUGCUUGACUUUCCCCGUGUGUCUCUGCUGUAAAACACGGCUGUAGUGUAGAAACAUGGAAUCACUUGCACUGGUUUCCUAAAAUAAUCGGGAAAGGAUCCGAGGAUGUGCUGGAAAUGGCACGUAGGCUGGAGGGGGAACAGCCAACAGCUGCUGGUGGGGCCUGAGCUCUGCUGUGACACCAGCCCUGACGCCUCCUGCGCUGGGGACCCCGGCUCCGGCUGGAGACAGAUGUCCAUGAUGUCCAUGGAGCUGCUGGGAGCAGAGCUGGGGCAGGCUGGUGCACGCUUGGUCUAAUCCAGAAGGUGGCAAUGGCAAUCCAUAGACACUGGCCGGCUUGGAAAUGGGGAUUUCUUGGCGCUACGGCCCUUGUAUUUAGGGGAUGUUUUCAGCUGGCUGCUCUGAAGGGGCAGCGUGGUGGUGGCUUCUUGGCACGUGCUGAGCGGGCAGCCAGCCCUGAGCAACACCAAACGUUACAGAAAAUACACUUGGCUGCAAAAUGGGGUAUGUUCCCAGGUAUGUUUUGGUUGAUUUGUAAAGUACAGUCUCCUUGCAGAUGUUUGUGCAUUUAAGUUUCCUCCCUUCCUCCCUUCCUCCCUUCCUCCCUUCCUUCCUUCCUUCCUUCCUUCCUUCCUUCCUUCCUUCUCUCUUUCUUUCUCUCUGUCUCUCUUCCUUUAAUGACUACUUUUCCCUGUUCCAUGCUGGCCUGUGAUGUUCCCAGCACCUCUCUUAGGUUCCCCACCAGCCCCUGCUUCACCCACCACGUGCCCCCUCGCACCCCUCCGCAACGGGACCCCGGCUGCGCUGGCUCCUGCCCGUUUCCCUGUGCCCAGGUACUGAGACAUUUGGGGAUGAAAAAGCAUCAUUUUCCUUCUGGUUAGUAUUUUUCAGUCACUUCUCAGGCUUCUCUCGUGCAAGAAAGCAAUAAAAGCACAUACAGCCCAGGCUGCCAGCGGAGAGGAGAAGCUCCACGCUCAGUCCCCAGCAGAGGACCUGACCUCACAAGGCAGGAGAGUAGGGGGUCAACCAAAAUUAUCCCUGGCAGGACUCCACUCCUUCCAGCAGCCCGGGAAUGGGGAGCUGCGGCCUGAAAUCAGCAUCCUCCUGAAUGUUCCUGGGGCAGGGCAAAGCUCUGAUUGCGGGAUCGGGGAGGCAAGAGGGAUGCUGCUCCCUCUGGGAUCACCCCACGCUUACACACAGCUGGACCCAAAACAGAUGGACAUCGGGCUAAAAGAAAUGUCUUUAAAAAAAAAUCCUACUAAACUUUCCUUGGGAUAUCAAUUGUUUUUCAUUCUUCGGAGGGAUCCUCCUUCCUCCGCUGGAAAGGAAGGAUCAUGCCAGUGGAGUCGCUCCUUCCUCCUUUAUCUCUGCUUGGCUACAUUUGGAAGAGAUUAGCGUUGCAUUUGUUUGACAUCCAGGUUAAUAGCUUCCCUUCGUCCCAGUCUCGGCUUCCGGUUUUGGCUAUCUGGAAAGCCAGGCUGGAAAUUAAUCGGCAAACUCUGGGGAGAGGAUCUCGGAAGAAAACUCAGACCAGAUUUGGAAAGAGGCUCCUCUAAACCGUGCUGAUUUGGCUAGAAGCCACGGGUGGAAAAAUUAGAGAUUUUUCAAGAGUUUGCUGCCAAGGAGUUAAUGGCUGAGAGUUGAGGUCUUUAAUAAAGACACUGGUAAUUAAUUA